rnacentral:rRNA from 1 species
UCUUCCACAAUGGACGAAGGUCUGAUGGAGCAACGCCGCGUGAGCGAUGAAGGCCUUCGGGUCGUAAAGCUCUGUUGUUAGGGAAGAGCAAGUACCGGAGUAACUGCCGGUACCUUGACGGUACCUAACCAGAAAGCCACGGCUAACUACGUGCCAGCAGCCGCGGUAAUACGUAGGUGGCAAGCGUUGUCCGGAAUUAUUGGGCGUAAGGCGCGCGCAGGCGGUCCUUUAAGUCUGAUGUGAAAGCCCCCGGCUCAACCGGGGAGGGUCAUUGGAAACUGGAGGACUUGAGUGCAGAAGAGGAAAGCGGAAUUCCACGUGUAGCGGUGAAAUGCGUAGAGAUGUGGAGGAACACCAGUGGCGAAGGCGGCUUUCUGGUCUGUAACUGACGCUGAGGCGCGAAAGCGUGGGGAGCAAACAGG